UGUAACGGGGCUAAACCAUGCACCGAAGCUGCGGCAGCGACGCUGAUGCGUUGUUGGGUAGGGGAGCGUUCUGUAAGCCUGUGAAGGUGGCCUGUGAGGGUUGCUGGAGGUAUCAGAAGUGCGAAUGCUGACAUAAGUAACGAUAAAGCGGGUGAAAAGCCCGCUCGCCGGAAGACCAAGGGUUCCUGUCCAACGUUAAUCGGGGCAGGGUGAGUCGACCCCUAAGGCGAGGCCGAAAGGCGUAGUCGAUGGGAAACGGGUUAAUAUUCCCGUACUUGGUGUUACUGCGAAGGGGGGACGGAGAAGGCUAUGUUGGCCGGGCGACGGUUGUCCCGGUUUAAGCGUGUAGGUGUGUGUUCCAGGUAAAUCCGGUUCACUUUAACACUGAGGCGUGAUGACGAGGCACUACGGUGCUGAAGCAACAAAUGCCCUGCUUCCAGGAAAAGCCUCUAAGCAUCAGGUAACAUCAAAUCGUACCCCAAACCGACACAGGUGGUCAGGUAGAGAAUACCAAGGCGCUUGAGAGAACUCGGGUGAAGGAACUAGGCAAAAUGGUGCCGUAACUUCGGGAGAAGGCACGCUGACAUGUAGGUGAAGUGAUUUACUCAUGGAGCUGAAGUCAGUCGAAGAUACCAGCUGGCUGCAACUGUUUAUUAAAAACACAGCACUGUGCAAACACGAAAGUGGACGUAUACGGUGUGACGCCUGCCCGGUGCCGGAAGGUUAAUUGAUGGGGUCAGCGCAAGCGAAGCUCCUGAUCGAAGCCCCGGUAAACGGCGGCCGUAACUAUAACGGUCCUAAGGUAGCGAAAUUCCUUGUCGGGUAAGUUCCGACCUGCACGAAUGGCGUAAUGAUGGCCAGGCUGUCUCCACCCGAGACUCAGUGAAAUUGAACUCGCUGUGAAGAUGCAGUGUACCCGCGGCAAGACGGAAAGACCCCGUGAACCUUUACUAUAGCUUGACACUGAACAUUGAGCCUUGAUGUGUAGGAUAGGUGGGAGGCUUUGAAGUGUGGACGCCAGUCUGCAUGGAGCCGACCUUGAAAUACCACCCUUUAAUGUUUGAUGUUCUAACGUGGACCCGU
rnacentral:rRNA from 1 species